UCUAGGCUUGGGGGGUGAAAUGAUGUGGAUGUUCCAUUGCAAAGGCAUGUCAUUAAGUUGUGUUGCUGGAGCUAUAUGGGACGGAAGCUUAUAAAACCCUUCUUGGUUGGGGCUUGGAUUCGGUCGACGAUGCACGUUUCUUUCGGUAAUCCUUAAACUCUUCGCACCCAGCGGUGGGGGCAGCUGUUUCAUUCGGUGUUUCGGCAAUGCUUGACGGGCAUAACAUGCUUGUUGGGGGGUUGUAGUUCGCUGAUUGGAAUUGUUGCUCAUUGUACGUGGUGGUGCAUGAGUCGUAUCACGAUCGUUUGGGUAGGCAGGCUCCGUGCUCGCGCAUCGAAUUGCUUCCCCGCGAUCCUUUCA
rnacentral:lncRNA from 1 species